rnacentral:rRNA from 1 species
AUUGAACGCUGGCGGCGUGCUUAACACAUGCAAGUCGAUCGGUAACAGGUGUAGCAAUACAUGCUGACGAGAGGCGGACGGGUGAGGAACGCUUGGGAAUCUGCAUAUCAGCGGGGGACAACCCGGGGAAACCCGGGCUAAUACCGCAUACGCUCUACGGAGGAAAGCCGGGGACCGCAAGGCCUGGCACUGAUAGAUGAGCCCAAGCCGGAUUAGCUAGUUGGCGGGGUAACGGCCCACCAAGGCGACGAUCCGUAGCUGGUCUGAGAGGACGAUCAGCCACACCGGAACUGAGACACGGUCCGGACUCCUACGGGAGGCAGCAGUGGGGAAUAUUGGACAAUGGGCGAAAGCCUGAUCCAGCGACGCCGCGUGGGUGAAGAAGGCCUGCGGGUUGUAAAGCCCUUUCGGUAGGGACGAAAGCUCUCGACCUAACACGUCGGGAGGUUGACUUAACCUACAAAAGAAGCACCGGCUAACUCUGUGCCAGCCGCCGCAGUAAAAC